CCAGAAGCCUCUUUGUUGCCUUA
rnacentral:siRNA from 1 species